rnacentral:misc_RNA from 1 species
GUUGAAUUUCGAGAUGAUCGAUCUUGGAUUCUAUUGAUGUCAUUAAUUAUGAUGAAGAAGUACGUAAUAUGAUCAAAUCAGCAAAACAGAACACAGAAUAUAGAAACACACAUGUUUUUUCUUUUUUUUGCAUCACUAGUUAACGAUAUGAAGUUAUGUCUUGUAUCAAAGUAGCCCAUCCAUUGUAAGAUGAUCCUCCUCCUUCAAUAGCUUCUCUUGCCAUUUCUUUGUACUCUUUUGCUCUGCUUCUGAAUCCCUCUGUUUCUUCACUCGCCAUUACUCUCUUUAUCGCCUUUGCUAUUGCUUCUCUUUUCACUCCUUCACUAGCUGUUCUCUUCCAUUGCUUAGAACCAACACCAGCUCCACUUCUCAUUACCUCAGUCACCAACUUCUCAUUGAAAAACUGUUCCGCAAAUACUGGCCAUGUCACCAUUGGUACCCCUGCUGAUAUUCCUUCCAGCGUCGAAUUCCAUCCACAAUGAGUAACAAAAGCUCCAAUAGCUUCGUGAUCAAGAAUCAGCACUUGGGGUGCCCAUCCUCUUAUGAUUAAACCUUUUUCUUUUGUUCUUUCCUCGAAUCCUUCUGGGAGCCAAUCUUCAUUCCCUGUUCUGAUAACCCAAAUGAAAUCUUGUCCAGAGGCUUCUAGCCCCAUAGCAAGUUCUUGCAUCUGUGCUGUAGUGAAAUCUGCUGUACUUCCAAAACAAACAUAAACAAUGGAACUUGAUUUCUUCGAAUCAAGCCAUUUCAAGCACGCGUGUUCAUCGAUAGAUGAUUUCCUCCCUCUUUCCGCUUUAUCUUCAAUAUCCCUAUUGCACAGCGAAAGCGGACCAAUAGCCCAAUUUUUUCUACCUACAACCUUAGUGUAAUGUUCAACAUAAUCUGAUUCAAGCUCAUAAAAGCUAUUGAAUAUAACUCCAUAGCUCUUCGCAUCCGAUUCCCUCACAGCUUUAAUCAUGGGAGCCAUACCCGUCUCUUCAUCCGAUUGCUCAAACGGAGACAACUGUGUUCUAGUUAGCCUAAUUUCAUGUGGCAAAUCCGGUACAACAAAAGUUUCAGUAUCCGAUGACACAUUCUUGAAAGGCUUAUUACGCCUGAUGCUAUCGCCAACACAAAGCGCAAAGUAACUAGUUCCAUGGAAUACAAUUCUUGGUAUGCUAAAUUUGGCUGCACUAUCAGUAGUCCAUGGAAGGAACAUAUCAGAAACAAGACAAUCAGGGCGACAUUCUCCAAUAAGCUCCUCAAAUUCAUCUUUCAUCAUAGCCGCAGCUUUUAAGAAGUUUGGGAGUUUGUCAUCAGAAGGUACAAGAUCAAGACGCUCACAAUCUUCAGGCAAAUCAUUCUCCUUAGCUGGGAAUUUUAGUAAACGAAUAUCAAUUUCAAUACCUAAAUGCUUGUUUCUCUCAAUAGCUUUAGAGAAAACAGAUUCAUUGAGAGGUGUUGUGAUUAUAGUGGCUUUAACACCACGACAAGCGACAAGCUUCGCCAUGUCAAGUGUAGGUAUCAUAUGACCUUGAGCCAUCAUGGGAAAGAAGAAAAAAUGUAGCUG